rnacentral:rRNA from 1 species
GUAGGUGGCAAGCGUUGUCCGGAAUUAUUGGGCGUAAAGCGCGCGCAGGCGGUUCUUUAAGUCUGAUGUGAAAGCCCACGGCUCAACCGUGGAGGGUCAUUGGAAACUGGAGAACUUGAGUACAGAAGAGGAAAGCGGAAUUCCACGUGUAGCGGUGAAAUGCGUAGAGAUGUGGAGGAACACCAGUGGCGAAGGCGGCUUUCUGGUCUGUAACUGACGCUGAGGCGCGAAAGCGUGGGGAGCAAACAGGGAUCAGAUACCCUGGUAGUCCACGCCGUAAACGAUGAGUGCUAAGUGUUAGGGGGUUUCCGCCCCCCUUAGUGCUGCAGCUAACGCAUUAAGCACUCCGCCUGGGAGUACGGCCGCAAGGCUG